rnacentral:rRNA from 1 species
GACGUAGGGCGCGAGCGUUGUCCGGAUUUACUGGGCGUAAAGAGCUCGUAGGUGGUUUGUCGCGUUGUUCGUGAAAACUCACAGCUCAACUGUGGGCGUGCGGGCGAUACGGGCAGACUGGAGUACUGCAGGGGAGACUGGAAUUCCUGGUGUAGCGGUGGAAUGCGCAGAUAUCAGGAGGAACACCGGUGGCGAAGGCGGAUCUCUGGGCAGUAACUGACGCUGAGGAGCGAAAGCGUGGGGAGCGAACAGG